rnacentral:rRNA from 1 species
CCUACGGGAGGCUGUAGUGGGGAAUAUUGGACAAUGGGGGGAACCCUGAUCCAGCCAUGCCGCGUGUGUGAAGAAGGCCCUCGGGUUGUAAAGCACUUUCAGUGAGGAAGAACGCCUGGUGGUUAAUACCCAUCAGGAAAGACAUCACUCACAGAAGAAGCACCGGCUAACUCCGUGCCAGCAGCCGCGGUAAUACGGAGGGUGCGAGCGUUAAUCGGAAUUACUGGGCGUAAAGCGCGCGUAGGUGGCUUGAUAAGCCGGUUGUGAAAGCCCCGGGCUCAACCUGGGAACGGCAUCCGGAACUGUCAAGCUAGAGUGCAGGAGAGGAAGGUAGAAUUCCCGGUGUAGCGGUGAAAUGCGUAGAGAUCGGGAGGAAUACCAGUGGCGAAGGCGGCCUUCUGGACUGACACUGACACUGAGGUGCGAAAGCGUGGGUAGCAAACAGGAUUAGAUACCCCUGUAGUC